UGUAAAGUAGAGGAGAAGGGAAGUGAGAUCAAACGCAUGAGGUUGACAUAGCGAUUUUUUGCAUGGUUCUGAUAGGUGGCGCUAUUGUACGUCCAUGUUAGUGGAGACUUCAACCCACGGAGGGUAACGGCUGCGAGAGUCCACGGAGGGCUCCACCCAUGGAGGGUCCACAAAGAAGCGGCCUUGUCUAUCCCAUCACGGCUUUCGUCCACGGAGGACUAGCCUUACUUACGGUAGAUCUUCACGAAGUAGGCGAUCUCCUUGCCCUUACAAACAUCUUGGUUCAACUCAACGGCACGAAGUAGGAGGCUCCCAAGCGACACGUAACCAAUCUAGGAGGCACCACCCUCCAAAAGGUAAUAGAUGUGGUAGAUCAAUGAACUCCUUGCUCUUGUGCUUCUAAAGACAGUCUCCUCAACACAAAUCUCUCUCUCACAGAAUAUGCAUGGGUAGGAGAGGUUGAUUUGGUGGAAAGCAGUUUGGGGAGGCUAGAGAUCAAGAUUCAAAUGAUUGGAUUGGAAUAUCUUGGUCUCAACACAUGAGUAGGUGGUUCUCUCUUAGAAAAUGGAUCUGGAAAUGAAGUGUGUGUUGUGAGUGCUUCUCGCACGAAUGAGAGGUGGGCGAAGGGGUAUGUAUAGGCAGCAACCAAAAUCCAACCGUUACAAACAAAAGAGCAACUCGGUGACACCGAAGUGGACAACUCGGUGGUAUUGAUUAGCACUAAAGUGGUGAACUUUUGAAUCUCGGUGAGACCGAUGUAUAGAACUCGGUGGCACCGAAAAGGUGACUAACGGUCAGAUGGCCAAACUCGGUGGCACCGAUACUCAAACUCGGAAAUUCUGUUUUUGUGUAUCUUGGCAACAGAAUGUUGGUCACAUUGAACUCGGUAGCAUCGAUGCAGUUUCGGUUGCACCGAUUUGGUGGGAAUGGCUAGGGUUCUGUCUUAGGUUCAAACUCGGUGGGUCCGAUGUGGCAAUGUUGGUAACACCGAAUUUGUGAAUGUGGAGCUUGACAGAGUGGAUAUG
rnacentral:lncRNA from 1 species